rnacentral:rRNA from 1 species
GCUCCGUGCCUAUACCCGGCCGCCGGAAGGCAUWGGCGUGAGCCGCUCUUCUGGGGCGGCGAGCGCGCGAAGCCCCGGCGAGUAGGAGGGCGCGGCGGUGAGCGCGGAAGGGUCUGGGCGCGAGCCUGCCUGGAGCCGCCGCCGGUGCAGAUCUUGGUGGUAGUAGCAAAUACUCAAGCGAGGGCCUUGAGGGCUGAUGUGGAGAAGGGUUUCGUGUGAACAGCCGUUGCACACGAGUCAGUCGAUCCUAAGCCCUAGGAGAAAUCCGAUGUCGAUGCGGGGGGUUUCAUUUGCUGUGCUCCCCCUCGAUGGGCGAAAGGGAAUCCGGUUCCUAUUCCGGAACCCGGCAGCGGAACCGAAUCUACGGGCCCUCGUCAGAGAAGCUCGUCGGGGUAACCCAAAGGGACCCGGAGACGCCGUCGGGAGACCCGGGCAGAGUUUUCUGUUCUGCAUAAGCGUUCGAGUUCCCUGGAAUCCUCUAGCAGGGAGAUAGGGUUUGGAACGCGAAGAGCACCGCAGUUGCGGCGGUGUCCGGGUCGUCCCCUCGGACCUUGAAAAUCCGGGAGAGGGUCACGCGGAGGUGUCGCGCCGGCUCGUACCCAUAUCCGCAGC